UCGGACUGUAGUCUGCAACCCGACUACACGAAGCCGGAAUCGCUAGUAAUCGCGAAUCAGAAUGUCGCGGUGAAUACGUUCCCGGGUCUUGUACACACCGCCCGUCACACCAUGGGAGUCGGAAAUGCCCGAAGUCAGUGACCCAACCGCAAGGAGGGAGCUGCCGAAGGCAGGUCCGGUAACUGGGGUGAAGUCGUAACAAGGUAUC
rnacentral:rRNA from 1 species